rnacentral:rRNA from 1 species
GACGAACCGUGCGAACGUUAUUCGGAAUCACUGGGCUUAAAGCGCGUGUAGGCGGGAGGGCACGUCCGUCGCUGAAAUCCCCCGGCUCAACCGGGGAACGGGCGCGGAUACGACCUUCCUUGAGGGGCGUAGGGGGACCUGGACCUUCCGGUGGAGCGGUGAAAUGCGUUGAGAUCGGAAGGAACGCCCGUGGCGAAAGCGAGGUCCUGGACGCCUACUGACGCUGAGACGCGAAAGCCAGGGGAGCGAACGGG